rnacentral:tRNA from 1 species
GCGCUGGUCGUAUAAUGGUUAUUAUUUCUGCCUUCCAUUCGCUCGUGGUACUACGUAAGCAUGACGUAAUCAGCUUUGGUAGCAGAAGACAGGGGUUCGAUUCCCCUCCAGCGCA